AAAAAAAAAAAUAAACUAAGAAAAAAAAUCAGAAUCAUUAUAAUCACAAAAAUAACAACAAUCAGCAUUAAGCACCACCAAUGAACUUCAAGCAAGGUGUCAAACAUCCAUUCAAUUAAAUCUGACAGCCCUCUCUCACUAGAAAUUCAGCAAUUAUCUCCCCAAAGUAAAAAAUUUCAAGUUAUUUGUGAAUAAUAACUUAUCACGUCAAAGGAUACAAAGUUGCAUAAUUUUUAAUAGUGUUCAGUAUAUGCUUUCAGACAAAGACACUCCAGUCACUUUGUGACUGAGGUUUGGUUUGAUUCAGAAAAUAUUUAUGAUGUUAUGCAGACAUGCACCUCUAACAAGUUUGAUCCCAUCCUCCAAUCUCUAAAUAGAAUGUAAAAAAUCACCAGCUCUCUGCUUUGUUAACCUGAAAAAUGCACAGAAACGAGCAAUAGAAAGCAAAUUCCAAGCAUAACUCAUUUACUUCCUUCAUUCCUUUCCUUCGCUUUCUUAGCAAACACCCCAACAUCUUUCUCUACUGUAAAUUCCUCAUACUGAGGCACUAGGGUUUCAAUAACCAAAAAAAGACAAGUAAACAAAAAU
rnacentral:misc_RNA from 1 species